rnacentral:rRNA from 1 species
UACAGAGGGGGCAAGCGUUGUUCGGAAUUACUGGGCGUAAAGGGCGCGUAGGCGGCCUAUUAAGUCGAACGUGAAAUCCCUGGGCUCAACCCAGGAACUGCGUCCGAUACUGGAAGGCUUGAAUCCGGGAGAGGGAUGCGGAAUUCCAGGUGUAGCGGUGAAAUGCGUAGAUAUCUGGAGGAACACCGGUGGCGAAGGCGGCAUCCUGGACCGGUAUUGACGCUGAGGCGCGAAAGCCAGGGGAGCAAACGGG